UACAGAGGUCUCAAGCGUUGUUCGGAUUCAUUGGGCGUAAAGGGUGCGUAGGUGGCGCGCUAAGUCAGGUGUGAAAUUUCGGAGCUUAACUCCGAAACUGCAUUCGAUACUGCGGUGCUUGAGGACUGGAGAGGAGACUGGAAUUCAUGGUGUAGCAGUGAAAUGCGUAGAGAUCAUGAGGAAGACCAGUGGCGAAGGCGGGUCUCUGGACAGUUCCUGACACUGAGACGAAGGCCAGGGGAGCAAACGGGG
rnacentral:rRNA from 1 species